GAUCUAUGAGCUAACCAUGAAGUAAUAUUCUGAAGAAGAGACUAGAAGAAAGAAGACAAUAGCUCUCAAAUCAAUAACUUAAGAAAAAGAAGAUUCAGAAAAAUCAGAGAAUAGUGAAGAAGAUGAGGAUUUAGCCUUAAUCAUCAGAAAAUUCAGACGUUUUAUGAGGAAAAGAAGAUAAGGGACCAAGAGAAGACCACCAGCUAAGGGGGAGCCAAGUAAAAAAAAAAAGAGUAGUCCGUUAUCUGUUAUGAGUGCAAGAAGUCGGGCUACUUU
rnacentral:lncRNA from 1 species